UCGGCGCUGGCCGCGCUCCCCUCCACCUCCCCACCAUCUCCCCGCGCUGCCCGCGCUCCACCGUCUCGCGCUCCUGAUCGCUCCAGCUCCUCCCGGCCGCCCGGCGCCGCAGCCACGCGAGGUUGUAAAAAUCCAUGUGGGACCGCGCCGGGGCGAGCAUCGCUAAGGUAGGACUCCAGCUGUGAGAAGCAGAGAAGCGGGAAGCCAACUCCUCGACAAUGGGCUUAGAAGCAAAUCUCUGAGUGGAGUCAUUUCCUGGUACAGACUUCACAAAGAAUGUGCUGAGAAUUCUAGUCCGUGAAGGGAACAUUGGCUUAAGCCCUCACGUGGCCUAGCAUUUCUUCUCUUCAGUAGCACCACAUCACAGAAGAAAAAUGUACGGGAGCGCAAGAACAAUCAGCAAUCUGGAAGGCAGCCCUUCCAGGUCACCACGUCUGCCAAGGUCUCCUCGUUUGGGCCACCGAAGAACAAGCAGUGGGGGAGGGGGAGGGACAGGCAAGACUCUGUCUAUGGAGAAUAUCCAGUCCCUUAAUGCAGCCUAUGCUACAUCUGGACCCAUGUACUUGAGUGACCAUGAAGGGGUGGCAUCGACAACUUACCCAAAGGGAACCAUGACUCUGGGCAGGGCAACAAAUCGAGCGGUGUAUGGAGGCCGGGUCACAGCCAUGGGGAGUAGUCCCAACAUUGCUUCCGCUGGACUUUCCCACACAGAUGUCCUUUCCUAUACUGAUCAACAUGGAGGGCUGAGCGGCUCAUCACACCACCACCACCACCAGGUGCCCUCCAUGUUGAGGCAGGUAAGAGACAGCACGAUGUUGGAUCUUCAAGCCCAGCUCAAAGAGCUGCAGAGAGAGAAUGACCUCCUACGCAAGGAGCUUGACAUUAAGGACAGCAAACUGGGGUCUUCCAUGAACAGCAUCAAGACUUUCUGGAGUCCUGAGCUGAAGAAGGAGAGAGUCUUGAGGAAAGAGGAGGCAGCUCGCAUGUCUGUCCUCAAGGAGCAGAUGAGGGUUUCUCACGAAGAAAACCAGUUACUGGAUGCCAGAAGAACCAAGCAUCUGCAGUUGACCAUCCAGGCCCUUCAGGAUGAGCUGCGGACCCAGAGAGACCUCAACCACCUUCUGCAGCAAGAGAGCGGCAACCGAGGAGCCGAGCACUUCACCAUUGAGCUGACAGAGGAGAACUUCCGCAGGCUCCAAGCUGAGCACGACAGGCAGGCUAAGGAGCUGUUCCUUCUGCGGAAGACAUUGGAAGAAAUGGAGUUGAGAAUCGAAACACAGAAACAGACUCUCAAUGCCCGAGACGAGUCCAUUAAAAAGCUCCUGGAGAUGCUGCAGAGCAAGGGCUUGCCAUCGAAAAGCCUUGAAGAUGACAAUGAGCGCACACGGCGAAUGGCGGAGGCUGAGUCUCAGGUCAGCCACUUGGAAGUGAUUUUAGACCAGAAGGAGAAGGAAAACAUCCACCUGAGAGAGGAAUUGCACCGAAGAAGCCAACUUCAGCCGGAGCCAGCCAAGACGAAGGCUCUCCAGACUGUCAUCGAAAUGAAGGACACAAAAAUUGCUUCAUUGGAGCGUAACAUCCGGGACCUUGAGGAUGAGAUCCAGAUGUUAAAAGCCAAUGGUGUGCUCAACACAGAGGACCGGGAGGAGGAGAUCAAACAAAUCGAGGUGUACAAAAGCCACUCCAAGUUUAUGAAGACCAAGAUUGAUCAGCUGAAACAGGAACUUUCCAAGAAGGAGUCAGAACUUCUUGCCUUACAAACAAAGCUUGAAACCCUUAGCAAUCAAAAUUCAGAUUGCAAGCAACACAUUGAAGUGCUUAAAGAGUCGCUUACUGCCAAAGAACAGAGGGCUGCCAUCCUUCAGACUGAGGUAGAUGCACUGAGAUUACGGCUGGAAGAGAAAGAAUCUUUUCUCAAUAAGAAAACAAAACAGCUCCAAGACCUCACCGAAGAGAAGGGGACCCUAGCUGGAGAGAUCCGUGAUAUGAAAGAUAUGUUAGAAGUAAAGGAAAGGAAAAUCAAUGUUCUUCAGAAAAAAAUUGAAAACUUGCAAGAACAACUUAGGGAUAAGGACAAACAACUGACCAACCUGAAAGACAGAGUAAAGUCCCUUCAGACAGACUCCAGCAACACCGACACAGCUCUGGCCACACUGGAGGAGGCCUUGUCGGAAAAGGAGAGAAUAAUAGAGCGCUUGAAAGAGCAGAGGGAGAGAGAUGAUCGGGAAAGACUAGAAGAGAUAGAAUCCUUUCGAAAGGAGAACAAAGACCUCAAAGAGAAGGUCAAUGCUUUACAGGCUGAGCUGACAGAGAAAGAGUCCAGUUUAAUCGACCUCAAAGAACAUGCAUCCUCGUUAGCUUCCGCAGGACUGAAGAGGGACUCCAAACUGAAGUCUCUAGAAAUAGCCAUUGAACAAAAGAAGGAGGAAUGUAACAAACUGGAGGCACAGUUAAAAAAGCAAGCUGAACAGUUGUUCAAUCAGAUGUACAAUCCAGCGCAUAAUAUUGAAGAUGACUCCAGGAUGAACCCCGAGUUUGCAGACCGACUGAAACAACUUGACAAGGAAGCAUCUUACUACCGAGAUGAGUGUGGCAAGGCUCAAGCAGAAGUGGACAGGUUGCUGGAGAUCCUCAAGGAGGUGGAGAAUGAGAAAAACGACAAAGACAAGAAGAUCGCAGAACUGGAGAGCUUGACUCUCAGGCACAUGAAAGAUCAGAAUAAGAAGGUAGCCAACCUCAAGUACAACCAACAGCUGGAGAAGAAGAAGAAUGCCCAGUUGUUAGAAGAAGUGCGCCGGCGAGAAGAUAGCAUGGUUGACAACUCACAGCAUUUGCAGAUUGAGGAGCUGAUGAAUGCCUUGGAGAAAACCAGGCAGGAACUGGAUGCCACCAAAGCACGCCUCGCCUCUACCCAGCAAUCUCUGGCUGAAAAAGAAGCGCACCUGGCCAACCUCCGGAUUGAGAGGAGGAAACAGCUAGAGGAGAUCCUGGAGAUGAAACAGGAAGCACUACUUGCGGCCAUCAGUGAAAAGGACGCAAACAUUGCCUUGCUGGAGUUAUCUGCCUCCAAAAAGAAAAAGACCCAGGAGGAAGUCAUGGCUCUGAAGCGGGAGAAGGACCGACUGGUGCAUCAGUUAAAGCAGCAGGUCUAUAGGUCUAGGAAACAGCCCCCGUGCUCAAAUAUUCCGUGCACUUGUGAUGCUGGCUACAGCCCAGAUUUUACGGCCAAGUACCACGGGUCCAGCUACGAUGCAUACAUGGGCCAAAGGUCUCAGACCCAGAACAGGAUGAAGCUGAUGGCAGACAAUUACGAUGAAGACCAUCACCAUUACCACCACCACCACCAUCACCACCACCACCGGUCUCCUGGGAGGUCACAGCAUUCCAACCACAGGCCCUCUCCAGACCAGGAUGACGAGGAGGGCAUAUGGGCAUAGCCGGGCCUGUAAACCAAAGUUCCAGUUUUGUUUUGAGGGAUGAUCCAGCUCUGUCGGAGGCACGUGUAGGCACAGCCAAAUCUCAUGCUGUACAUUGAUCACCUGUCCAACCUUUGCCUAGAGUGGGAGCCCCCAGUUCCUUCAAGAGAUCCAACUUUACCUGUCUGUAAAGAAGAAGAGGAGGAGGGAGACAGCAGGGAGGAUCCGGUGGCAUUGUGACAUCGGAGCGGGUCCAGUGUUCACUUUUACCCUUUUGGAGCUGUCAGAAGGGUUGGCUAAAAGAAUAGCUCAGCACUGCAGCAGUAUCCUGAUAAUCUAUUGCAGCCUGGCUCUCCUCACUGUCUACCAGCGGCGGCCGGCCGUGGCAGCAGGUCUGAAAGGAAGGGGAGUUUUUGCCUUCACUUUCCUGCUCAAUUCUGUUCUCCUCGAUUGAUUUGAGUGUAAGGGAAAGAAAGAGUACGAAGAAGGAGAAAAUGACAACCCCUUCGUUUUCUAACAAGGAUUUGGACCUUUACGAAGCGAGCAUCUCUGCGGAAAGCUGCGCGUGGCAAGCGUUUUGUUCCUGUUGCUUUGCCUCUUGGGUACAUGGGCGCUACACGUGAUUCAGACUGCAGAUCCAUUUUCAGUUGGACAGCUAGCUCCCGUCUCCCGUCAUCCUGCUGGUCAGUCUAAGUGGUCCUAACACAUUAGAUUAUCAGACAAUCUAAGCUUGCUGUGAACAAGUGCUGCUGCUGGUGUUUGUAUACCAUGGUGCAUGGAGUGUUUGACAAAGAAACCAAGAGACCAAAAAUUGAGAGCCUUUACCCUCCUCCGUCUCUUUAAUCUGUCGGUUAAGGAACCACAUUGAACGGUAUUAUCAGUAGUUACCUCUGGGCCAGGUUGGAAAUGAAAUCAAUUUUUUUAAACCACUAGUAACUUGCCAAGAAAUCGCCUUAUGAGAACAUGGUGUGUGUCUCUGACAGUGCAUGGCACAUCUAAAUUGGUCAUUCGUAAUUUUAUUGUCCUGCUCAUGUACCAGAGAAUGACAAAAGCCUGUGGCACCUGAAUAUCCACUCCACAUGCUCCUUGAACCCCUCGGCUGGGACAUGACCUGGCCUCAGGCUCUUCUCUUUCUCAUACAUGCAGGUCUCCAUGACAAAGCUGAGGUUCGUUCAUGUUUCGAGAUCCAAACGCUGUGCAAGCAAUGUGAGCCUGGAUCUCCUCUAAAUGAAAGGUCACUUCUCAGUCCUUUUAUUGUUUUGUUUUAAGAAAAUGUCUCCAACAUGGAUUCCAAAGCAUUUUCAGCAUCCAACAUGAAAACAUUGAUGAAUGAAGAGCAAUCACAAAAGCUGUAUGUCUGUAAAUAGUAUUAUACAACCUGUGUGGAAACAGAGUCCUUAUCUUAAAGCACAUGCCAGGGAAAGAGACCGCACUCCAAGGUCUUUUGCAUACAGUGACAAGGUACUAAGGAGAGUUCAACUCCUGCUGCUUCCUCUGAAGAUUAAAGAGUAUUUAUUAGUCCUUACAACUCCGUAAAACACACACAACCGAGCCUGGUAAAUGUGCAGCUCUUGUACUGACCCAUUUUCCUGUCAAUGGGAGAAACCCUCCCACCCACCUGCAUUCCUAAAGGACAAACAAUGAAUUUAAGCAUGAGUGGCCUUAAUAAAUACCCUUGUCUUUCUUUGCUGCUGUGGAAAGGGUUCUAAGCAGAAGUUGCUGAAAUCUUGCAUUGACUCUAAUCAUUAUGACUUUCAAAAAUGUUGGUGCAAUUAACUCUGGACCUCUCUCAUGAGCCAUAGAGAUAUUUAAAAGACAAACCCCAUAUUUGCUGGGGAAAGAAACUGUCCCUGGACUGCACACGUUAUUCCUGGUGCACCGGGGGUGAUGUACUCAAGCCGGUUUCUUGCUUUGGGCUUCAUUCUUGUCAGUAAAUAGUGACCUGUGUAAAGCUUAUGUGUUACAUAAAUGAUCCAAAUACAUUCAUGUUUAAAAAAGUUUGUCCUUUAACUAUCAAAAGAAUAGGUCUUUGUUACAGAAGGGAGCAGGGUUCUUUGCAAGUUUAUUUAGUACAUUUUGGCAGAAGGGUGCAGUGAAAACCUAAGCCACAGACAAGUCCCUAGGUACGGCUUGGAUGUGGUCAGAGAAGCCCUCAUGGCUUCCGACCACCAGGUCCUGACCUGAACUCUGCACCUAAAUACUUGAAAUUGAAAGUAGAAGAACCAGGAUGGCAAGCAGGGUCCUUGAAGUAGCAGCAAAGGGAUCAACUCUGUGGUCAGCUGUCUCUGCAUUCGUGCCAAUUUUGACACAGCUCAUGUUUGGGGAUCAUUUCUUUGCCCCACUUUUGCUGGUUGAAAGUAUUAUCGAUCUUACUUUCAUGCAAGCAUAUCAUUCAGUCCCUGCAAAAUCCAAUUCUAUCUAAGAUAGCAUCUUUUCCCAUUUUGUGUACCAUUCUCCAAUAUUUGGGAGUUCCACCAAAAAUAUCCCUUUCCACACACUGCAAAUUGUGUCUGGGUUUACAACAAACACUGUGUUGUUCAGAAGAUAUUUCCUUUGUGAAAACUUUAGCAGGUUCCCUUCUAAUCAUAGUGUAGUUGAAAUUAAACAAACAAACAAAAAGAAGUUUGGGCUAACAUUUAGGAGAAGUUGGUCUAAGUCUCACUUUGUGUAAAAGCAGGCUUGUAUUUAUAACCUAUUUGAUUUCUAUAUACAGUCUCAAUUUUGUAUUUAAUGAUUUUUGUGUAUUAAGUAUGCACGUUCACAGCGUGUCAACUUUCAUUUGGAAGUGGGUUUUAUUUUUUAAACAGUGUUUAUGAUGAGCCCUCAAGCGUAUUGAUAUAAGCUCUAGCUGCACCGUCUUUGUGUAGAGCGCCGUUUGAAUGCUGCCAAGGGUCCGUGUAUCUCAUUCCCCGAGACCCUUGUUUGAUAGUGCUUCUUGUAAUAUUUCUUCAAGUGAGUGGCAUGUGGGUUGUGAUAUUGAUCCAUGUGAUUAUGGACAUUGAUAUGAAAAAAAUUUAAAAAAUAAAUAAAUAAAAUUAAGGAACCCUCGAAACUACCACUGGGCAUGUAUCAGCCAGUCAUUGUAACCUCUUGUCUAGUAGAAUACCCAUGUGCAAGGUAUGUACAGCUCAUAACUUUGUACUGUGUGUAUGAGGAGUACUUUGUGCUGAUUGUCUUCUUUAUAUUCAUCAAAUAAACCUUGUUUCUUUCCGAAG